ensembl:lncRNA
UGCGCCACGUAGGGCACGCCCUGCCCGGCUUGCAAAGACGCCGGGUGCCCCGCCUGCUCCCCAGCCCUGCUGGGUCUGGCCCCGAAAGGUCCCGACGCCCAUCUUCUGUCCCCGCCUCCUACCUCGGGGCUGAGGUGCAGCUAACCGCGGUGCGCCCCGACGCCCGGCCACCCGGCCACCAGCGAGCCUGGAGCUAGCCGAGGCAACACGCAGGAGUCGGUGAUGCCCACCUGCUCCCCACGGUCAUUCGCUCAUCGAGGGUUCCAGCCAGUGGAGCCAGCAAUACAGGAAGUGGCUUUUGAAGUUGCCAGAGGCUGGGAAGGCAGCUCCAAGACAGGCCCAGCUCCUCCAGGUGGCAGGAUGGGAAGGAACUGGCGAAGCAUUCUGGACGCACCGCCCUCAUUUGGCGGAGCAGCCUGAGGGGCAGCAGAGGCCGCGGGGGCGUUCCGGAAAGGUGAGAAGAGGGAUGCGGUCAAUGCUGCCCUGCCAGCCCGGCACAAAUUAUUCAUGGGCGGCAUCGGAGUCUUGGAAGGAUCCCUGGCUGGCGCGGAGGUCUCGGUGAGACCUUGGUGAACGCUCCCUGGCUUCCUGAGCACACGUGACUGUCCGCGGGACACCGGGCAGUGUUGCGCGCUCUGACCAGAUGGUCACUGGGAACAAAUUCCAGUCCUCUGCAGCGAGGCAGGGUGUAGACAGACAGAGUGACAGAUGCCAAUAAACCCAAAGGCAUCAGGGAGCCCACUGAGGCCCAGGCAAGGAAAGCCCCGUGCCAGACAUGGAGGGAGGGCCUCCUUCCUGCCCCAUCAGAGGCUGUGGAGGGCAGUGGCCCUGGGUGCUGGGCGCCCUGGAAGAGUGAGGGGCCUGGCAGGGUGGAGGUGCUGGCAGGAAUGUAGGCCAUUUCCCUUGCAAAAAUGAAAUU